rnacentral:rRNA from 1 species
AGAGUUUGAUCAUGGCUCAGAUUGAACGCUGGCGGCAGGCUUAACACAUGCAAGUCGAGCGGGGGAAGGUAGCUUGCUACUGGACCUAGCGGCGGACGGGUGAGUAAUGCUUAGGAAUCUGCCUAUUAGUGGGGGACAACAUCUCGAAAGGGAUGCUAAUACCGCAUACGUCCUACGGGAGAAAGCAGGGGAUCUUCGGACCUUGCGCUAAUAGAUGAGCCUAAGUCGGAUUAGCUAGUUGGUGGGGUAAAGGCCUACCAAGGCGACGAUCUGUAGCGGGUCUGAGAGGAUGAUCCGCCACACUGGGACUGAGACACGGCCCAGACUCCUGUGGGAGGCAGCAGUGGGGAAUAUUGGACAAUGGGGGGAACCCUGAUCCAGUCAUGCCGCGUGUGUGAAGAAGGCCUUAUGGUUGUAAAGCACUUUAAGCGAGGAGGAGGCUACUUUAGUUAAUACCUAGAGAUAGUGGACGUUACUCGCAGAAUAAGCACCGGCUAACUCUGUGCCAGCAGCCGCGGUAAUACAGAGGGUGCGAGCGUUAAUCGGAUUUACUGGGCGUAAAGCGUGCGUAGGCGGCUUAUUAAGUCGGAUGUGAAAUCCCCGAGCUUAACUUGGGAAUUGCAUUCGAUACUGGUGAGCUAGAGUAUGGGAGAGGAUGGUAGAAUUCCAGGUGUAGCGGUGAAAUGCGUAGAGAUCUGGAGGAAUACCGAUGGCGAAGGCAGCCAUCUGGCCUAAUACUGACGCUGAGGUACGAAAGCAUGGGGAGCAAACAGGAUUAGAUACCCUGGUAGUCCAUGCCGUAAACGAUGUCUACUAGCCGUUGGGGCCUUUGAGGCUUUAGUGGCGCAGCUAACGCGAUAAGUAGACCGCCUGGGGAGUACGGUCGCAAGACUAAAACUCAAAUGAAUUGACGGGGGCCCGCACAAGCGGUGGAGCAUGUGGUUUAAUUCGAUGCAACGCGAAGAACCUUACCUGGCCUUGACAUACUAGAAACUUUCCAGAGAUGGAUUGGUGCCUUCGGGAAUCUAGAUACAGGUGCUGCAUGGCUGUCGUCAGCUCGUGUCGUGAGAUGUUGGGUUAAGUCCCGCAACGAGCGCAACCCUUUUCCUUACUUGCCAGCAUUUCGGAUGGGAACUUUAAGGAUACUGCCAGUGACAAACUGGAGGAAGGCGGGGACGACGUCAAGUCAUCAUGGCCCUUACGGCCAGGGCUACACACGUGCUACAAUGGUCGGUACAAAGGGUUGCUACACAGCGAUGUGAUGCUAAUCUCAAAAAGCCGAUCGUAGUCCGGAUUGGAGUCUGCAACUCGACUCCAUGAAGUCGGAAUCGCUAGUAAUCGCGGAUCAGAAUGCCGCGGUGAAUACGUUCCCGGGCCUUGUACACACCGCCCGUCACACCAUGGGAGUUUGUUGCACCAGAAGUAGCUAGCCUAACUGCAAAGAGGGCGGUUACCACGGUGUGGCCGAUGACUGGGGUGAAGUCGUAACAAGGUAGCCGUAGGGGAACCUGCGGCUG